CGGUUAGUCCGCUAACGAGCGCAACCUCGUCGUAUGUUAUAUGUGUCAUACGAGACUGCGGUAAAAAGACCGGAGGAAGGUGAGGAUGAUGUCGAGUCAGCAUGACCUUUAUAUCCAGGGCUACACACACGCUACAAUGGUCUGUACAAUGGGUAGCCAAGCCGCGAGGCGGAGCCAAUCCUGAAAGCAGGCCUCAGUUCAGAUUGCAGUCUGCAACUCGACUGCAUGAAGCCGGAGUUGCUAGUAACCGCAGGUCAGCAAUACUGCGGUGAAUACGUUCCCGGGUCUU
rnacentral:rRNA from 1 species